rnacentral:misc_RNA from 1 species
GAUGAAGAACGCAGCGAAAUGCGAUAAGUAAUGUGAAUUGCAGAAUCCAGUGAAUCAUCGAAUCUUUGAACGCACAUUGCGCCCGCCAGCAUUCUGGCGGGCAUGCCUGUUCGAGCGUCAUUUCAACCCUCGACCUCCCCUUGGGGAGGUCGGCGUUGGGGACCGGCAGCACACCGCCGGCCCUGAAAUGGAGUGGCGGCCCGUCUGCGGCGACCUCUGCGUAGUAAUACAGCUCGCACCGGAACCCCGACGCGGCCACGCCGUAAAACACCCAACUUCUGAACGUUGACCUCGAAUCAGGUAGGACUACCCGCUGAACUUAAGCAUAUCAAUAAGCGGGAGGA